AAUCUUCAACCCACCUGUUUCUUGUUAAACAGUCUGGUGCUUUGGAUCAUGGGCGUCUUUGCUGGCCCCAAACCGGGGUUGGCUCGCCUGGAAUGCAUGAGCAGCGUCGUCCCUCGACAUCUGGCUUGACUUGGCGUGAUAGGUUAUUUCGCUGGGGACAACACUUCGGUGUUGGCCGAGUCGAGGAAAGAGGGCUACCAAUGAAAUGUACUCUAAAU
rnacentral:misc_RNA from 2 species